rnacentral:lncRNA from 12 species
UGAGGAGUGCCCUGGCUUGAAUCUAUUUUCUAUUUACAUUAUUUGAAUGUAGACAAGAAGGGGAGGGGAGGAUGGUAGCAUUACUUUAAGCUUGGCCUAUAGUGAAAAUGAUGGUACUACUGACUAAAAGAGAAGUGGUCAGAUUUUUGAGGAACUUGAUAUAUUUAGUGUUAAAAUGUGUUGAAUCUGAAAUAUUUAUAGAAUACAUAGCAGACAAUUGAAAAUAUGGGUUUGGAGCUGGUAGUAAGGUCUAGUCUAGUGAUGAGGUUUAAAAACAAAAGUAGCUGUAGAAGUCAUGAAUGUAUAUAAAUUUACCGAGAAAAGUGAACAAAUUGAGGAGGGGGCUGAGGAUGGAGCUCAGGGGAAUUCCCACUUGUGAAAGGAUAAUGGAAGAAUAGAGCCCUGGAAGGAUAUUGAGGAACAGCUGCCAGAGAGGUAAGAGAAAACCGGGGGAAGGUAGCCUUGUAGAAGCCGUGGAAAGGGAGAGUUUGAGGAAAAGAGAAUGGUCACUUGUAAAUGAUAUGAGCUAUACUAUCUGCUCAACAAAGUUCCUUCUACUUGGAAACCACUUCUCCACUAUCCCGUGUAGUUCUAAUGGUACUGUCAAUCCCAGUGUUUGGGCUGCAUGCUGACGCAAGGGGCAAAGGGGUCUUUGAAAGAGCUUUCCUCGGAAUCAAAUUCAGAUCUAACAAAAGUGCUGAAGGGAAAAAGUGUUUCUUCUUUGAAUGACUGACCUAAGGAUCGGUUGGAAAAAAAAAAAAAAGGUUGUAAUUUCCUUUUGACCAAAUCAUCGCUGGCCUCAAGAGGAGUUGAACUUACUCAGUUUUAUGUGAAACCAGAAACAUGCCAACAAAGAAGUAGGACAUAGAGAUAUCCUUUCUACUAAUUUAGACUUCAGUCUCUGUGGGCAGCAGAGUACAAUCCAAGACACCCCCACGUUCUUGGAUAAAUGUGCCUACAGUAGUAGGGAAGCUCCUGUUUUCUGUCUAUAUUCCCUUCUCACUUUUUUAGCUUUUUUCCGUUUCUAUAGUGGGCUGAAAUGAUAGCUCCCACAAAAGAUAUGUCUAUGUCCUAAUCCCCAGAACUUGUAAUGUGACCUUAUUUGGAAAAAGGGUCUUUGCAGAGGUACUUAAGUUAAGGAUUUUGAGAGGAGGAGUUUAUGCUGCACUCAAAAUGCAAUCAUAAGU